GGUAGUCAUUCAGUAAAUAUGGAGCGUAUGUAUCCAUUCCUCGUUCCCUUGAAUACGCGGUAGUCAUUUACUAAUUAUGGAGCGUAUGUAUCCAUUCCACGUUCCCUUGAAUACGCGGUAGUCAUUUAGUAAAUAUGGAGCGUAUGUAUCCAUUCCUCGUUCCCUUGAAUACACGGUAGUCAUUUCCUUAAUAUGGAGCGUAUGUAUCCAUUCCUCGUUCCCUUAAACACGCGGUAGUCUUUUAGUAAAUAUGGAGUGUAUGUAUCCAUUCCUCGUUCCCUUGAAUACGCGGUGGUCAUUUCCUAAAUAUGGAGCGUAUGUAUCCAUUCCUCGUUCCCUUAAACACGCGGUAGUCUUUUAGUAAAUAUGAAGCGUAUGUAUCCAUUCCUCGUUCCCUUGAAUACACGGUAGUCAUUUCCCAAAUAUGGAGCGUAUGUAUCCAUUCCUCGUUCCCUUAAACACGCGGUAGUCUUUUAGUAAAUAUGGAGCAUAUGUAUCCAUUCCUCGUUCCCUUGAACACGCGGUAGUCUUUUCCUAAAUAUGGAGCGUUUGUAUCCAUUCCUCGUUCCCUUAAACACGCGGUAGUCUUUUGAUAAAUAUGGAGCGUAUGUAUCCAUUCCUCAUUCCCUUGAAUACGCGGUAGUCAUUUCCUAAAUAUGGAGCGUAUGUAUCCAUUCCUCGUUCCCUUGAAUCAUAUAUAUAUAAUGUGGUCCAUUCAUUUAACAGCAGUAUGUUUUAUUUUUAUCUAAAUUUAAUUUGACUCUGAAUUUGUAGUAGAAUCGCAUUUGACACGUGGUUUAAAUAAAAUGUUAUUUUGAAUAUUAGUUUCCUUAUUUUACUGAGCUUGAAUUUCCUUUAAAUUACUUUGAAUAUUCGCGACAAUUCAAAAGUUCUGAAACCUUAAAAAUUCCGAGAAAUGCCUGAAAUUAUGUUAAGUAUCGAGAAUUUCCAAUGUCCUAGAUGCAUACGGAUAUAGGUUAAAGUGGGUCAUCGUUUAUAUGGAAAAUAGAAAAAUUCAAUGUUAUCCCAUCAGAUCAAAGCUUUUUUGAUCCCAUUUCAGGACCCAAAUAAGUGAGCAAAAUUUGGGCAGGAUCGGUUAUGUCUACGUUUUGCGCAUCGCGUUUGAAGUUUGUAUAGAGUUUUACAUAGGAAAACACACUUUUUUUACAUUUCUCUCAUAACAAGCUCGAAUUUUUCUAAAAUCAUGUAACCGAUGAAGUGAAAACAUAGCCUAGGGUGUCCUGAAAAACUUUGUCGAAGACCGCGAAGUGAUCUGAUACUUAUGAAAAAAUGUUAUAGCGUUGGCAUUGCUUGGCUAAACAGCAUGGUUUUGUUGCUAUUGUUAUUCCUUUAAAACAUAAACACAUGCAUGCGGUUCGUUGGUUAUAACUAUUUUCACAAGCAUCGGAUCGCUUUGCGGUCUUCAACAAAGUUUUUCAGAACAUCCUAGGCUAUCAUUUUAUAGUAUCGGUUAAAAAGUUUCAGACAACUUAUGACAAAAAUCCAAAAAAGUAUGUUUUCCCAUACAAAAUCCCAUACAAAUUUCAAUUGCAAUGCGCAAAGUGUAGACGCAACCGAUCGUGCUCAAAUUUUACACAGAUACUCAGGACCCGAAACGGAACCAAAAAAGCUUUGAUCUGAGAAAACGGUUCCGAUGACCCACGCUAAUAUGUAUCCACUCUCCUUCUCACUCCUCCUGCUCAUAUCUUCCUACCAUUCUUAUUUAUUUUUCAUGUCUCAUCGAGCCGAGGAUUGAAUGCAACGAGAAACGAGGAGCUACAAUAAAUAUACAGCAAGAAUUCAAUGGUUUCCUCAAGGGUUAAAGCUCAGGUACAAUAUUAUCUCCUGGGCGCCAAUUCAAAACACCAUCCUCGGCGAAGACUGGCGCGUGAGCCUAGCUGUUUAGCACUAGUGCUAAAUCCGGGAAGGUACGCUCAGCUCCCUGGGUUAGUGGGUUGGCGUCAGGCCCUGCGAGCCAGCUGUAAAAAGACUAGCACCGAAAAAUCAAAAAGAGUACACAGAGCUAUGGAAAAUCGUGAACGAAAACAGGUUUCCCGGGAAGCUUACCAGAUUGAUAAGAGCAACGAUGGACGGUGUGCAAAACAUCGUAAGGAUUUCAGGUCAACUAUCGAGUUCAUUCGAAUCUUGACGGGGACUGCGACAAGGUGAUGGACUCUCUUGCCUACUAUUCAACAUCGGCCUGGAAGGAGUUAUGCGACGAGUCAGGCUCAACAGCCGGGGAACGAUUUUCACAAAAUCCGGACAAUUUGUCUGGUUUGCAAAUGACAUGGAUAUUAUUCCUAGAACAUUUAGAACGGUGGUAGAACUGUAAACCCGCCUGAGACGUGAAGCAGCAAAGGUCGGACUGGUGGUGAAUGCGACCAAAGCAAAAUACAUGCUGGCGUGGGACUGAGCAAGACACGACAAGCCUUGGCAGCAAUAUUACGAUAGACGGGGAUACUUUCGAGGUAGUUGAAGAAUUCGUCUACCUCGGUUCCUUGCUAAUGCGAGGUAUGCACUUCAAACGGUAUCGCUCAACUCCGUACUAGGAUCCGGAAUAAAGCGACGCUUGCUCAUUUCUUGAGCGAUUCCUUGCCUGAAUUUCCCACGCAUCAAGAUAGGCCAAAUUUCUUGCGAUCUGCGUACUACCCAUAACGGCUGACAAUAAAGUGGGCCGUGAAAUACGAAGGCGCGUCAUCAGUGGAAGUCGUGCCUACUAUGAGCUGCAGAAGAAAGUGUAUUCAAAAUGAUUCACCCCCACACCAAAUGUACCAUCUUAAAAACGCUAAUAGGACCGGUAGUCCUCUACGUAUACGAGAAAUGGACGAUGCUCGAGAAAGACCUGCAAGCACUCGGAGUUUUCGAGCGACGCGUGCUAAGGACGAUCUUUGGCGGCGUGUAGGAAAACGGUGUGUGGCGACGAAGGAGGACCCACGAGCUCGCUGUACUCUACGGUGAACGCAACAUCCUGAAAGAGGCUAGAGCUGGAUAGAUACGGUAGGCAGAAAAUGUUGAAAGAAUGCCGGACAGCAACCCUGCAAAGUUGGUGUUUGGUAUCCAUCCGGUUGGUACGCACAGAGGCGUGGAGCACAGAGAGCACGAUGGGUGGACCAGGUGGAGCGUGACCUGGCGAGCGUUGGGCGUUACCUGCAGUCGCAAGUCGAGUAUUUAUGACGGCAAAGUGUGGAUUCGGUGUUUUCAUGAAAUCGAUGUUGAUCUAUAUAAAAAAAAUAAUCAAUGGUUCCCUCACGCGAUAAGUUGUGAAAUUGACAACUACUCUACUAUUUAAUAUUUAUUUUUUUAAUCUCUUUGUCUUCACUAUAAACUGCCCAGACUGUUUCUGAAAACUAAGUGAUACAAAUUUUCACAACAAAAAUCAAAACACCUGAUGUGUAUUGUAACAUUUAAAAAUACAUUAUCUCAAGUUAUUGAUUAAUAAAUUUAAUAAUAAUACUAACAAUAAUAUGUGAUGAAUAAUUAUCGCCGUUCCUUAAAAUAAAAAAAAAGUUUCAUCUCUGUUAUAAAUCGGAAAGACGUGUGAUACCACCAGGGUGCGAUAAUGUCACGUUUACGAUUCCCGCAUAUUGUGCUAAUGUUUAGGGAACCCAAAUGCAUUGUCAAUGGGGAAACCCAAUUAAUGUUGGCUUUAAACAAUCCUAUUGGGUGGGAAUAGGGAUGUCAUACAUGUGUGAUACAAAUGUGGUCGUACAUUUUGUUAUGGAUCUCCUUACACAACUGACUCCUUUCAAUGGCAAUUUUAAAGUGUGUCUCUUUAGUAUCAUCAUAGACUGAUUUCAUUCGUAUCAUUAAGUUGUCAAAUGAAUACUAGAUUGAAUAUAUAUUUUUCUAAAGUUAUAAAUUAAAAUUAGGAAAUAAGAAAAAAAUAUGUAAUUGUACAAUGUACUAGUCUACGUCGGUUGACGAAAUGAAUAAAUAAAUAAAUAAGAUCAUAGGGCAACCAGAUAGAAACACUUAAUAUUUAUUUACAAGCUCUCGCCACUUUUAGGAGUACAAUCGAGGUGAUGUAUGGUAAAAUAUUUAUUAUAGCUCAAAAUCAUGUUAUUAAAAUAUUGUUAAUUCAUACUUAUACCUUGCAGAAGAUUGUUUCCUAGUAACAAUAUCAUCUUUCAAUUGUAUAAAUGAACAUAAAUGCGACAAAUAUAUUAUUUUUCAUUGCUUG